UACGAAGGGGGCUAGCGUUGUUCGGAAUCACUGGGCGUAAAGGGCGCGUAGGCGGCUUUGUAAGUCGGGGGUGAAAGCCUGUGGCUCAACCACAGAAUUGCCUUCGAUACUGCAUGGCUUGAGACCGGAAGAGGUAAGUGGAACUGCGAGUGUAGAGGUGAAAUUCGUAGAUAUUCGCAAGAACACCAGUGGCGAAGGCGGCUUACUGGUCCGGUUCUGACGCUGAGGCGGCGAAAGCGUGGGGAGCAAAC
rnacentral:rRNA from 1 species